CCUUUUUAGUCGCUGAAACUGUUGCUUUAGUAUUGUGCAGUGCGGGGGACCCAUUUUUGGCAAUAAAACAUUUGUCUUGGGGUGAAUCUAAAUAUUUAGAAGGGAUACUUUAUGUCCCUAAUCCGACAGCUAACCUCGUAAGCGUCAUAGGGAGAAAAG
rnacentral:sRNA from 20 species